AUGAGGUCCCCUUCGCUAACGUUCUUUCCUAGACAAGCCAGAGGGCUUCUUUCAAUUCAGAUCCCCCUACAUGCUGCCUUCAGGACCACUGGCACUUCACAUCUUCUGCUCCACCUUAUCAUUUGGUCUCAGAUGGAGCUGUGGGAUCUGCUCCGUUCUGUUUCUCUAGGAUCAUCUCACCACAACGAGGAGAUGCUGGACAUCAAACAAAGAGGAACGCCAUCGUCCCUCCAACUCCUUCCCCAAGCUUUUAGUGUGCGUAUGUAUGAGAUUGUGGGGACCAGCCUCAGCAAAGAUGACCAGGAUGGGUGUGGAGCUCCCUGAUCUGGUGCACAUCUACAUCCGAAUACUGAGCAGUGCUUUUGGACCAGAUCCUCAGCCAUGUACGUUGGGACACUUUUGUUGAAGACGUGCUGCUUUAUCCCAGCUGUGGGAUGGGAAACAAAAUCAUCGUGAACUGCUGAUAGGGAAAGAUUUCAAUUUCUGUGAAGUCUUAAGUCUGCAAAUGAAAAACAGAACACAGUUGGAAGGUUUUUUUUUUUUUUAAGCUGCAUAAAACCUGCCUCCAAAUUCUAGCCAGAAAUGAUUUCUAUCAGGUUGCAGUCCUUGUAGCUGGUCAACAUUUAAAAUUGUG
rnacentral:lncRNA from 1 species